GAGUAAUGUCUGGGAAACUGCCUGAUGGAGGGGGAUAACUACUGGAAACGGUGGCUAAUACCGCAUAACGUCGCAAGACCAAAGAGGGGGACCUUCGGGCCUCUUGCCAUCAGAUGUGCCCAGAUGGGAUUAGCUUGUUGGUGAGGUAACGGCUCACCAAGGCGACGAUCCCUAGCUGGUCUGAGAGGAUGACCAGCCACACUGGAACUGAGACACGGUCCAGACUCCUACGGGAGGCAGCAGUGGGGAAUAUUGCACAAUGGGCGCAAGCCUGAUGCAGCCAUGCCGCGUGUAUGAAGAAGGCCUUCGGGUUGUAAAGUACUUUCAGCG
rnacentral:rRNA from 2 species